rnacentral:rRNA from 1 species
CCAAUAGCGUAUAUUAAAGUUGUUGCAGUUAAAAAGCUCGUAGUUGAAUUUCGGGAUUGACACAUCGGUCGUGCUCUAAGGGGUAUGAACUGGUGUAGUCAAUUUCUCACCUUCUGGAGAACCGCGAUGUCCUUAAUUGGGUGCCGCGGGGAACCAGGACCUUUACUUUGAAAAAAUUAGAGUGUUUAAAGCAGGCAUUUUUGCUUGAAUACAUUAGCAUGGAAUAAUAAAAUAGGACGGCAUGGUUCUAUUUUGUUGGUUUCUAGGACCACCGUAAUGAUUAAUAGGGAUAGUUGGGGGCAUUAGUAUUCAAUUGUCAGAGGUGAAAUUCUUGGAUUUAUUGAAGACUAACUACUGCGAAAGCAUUUGCCAAGGAUGUUUUCAUUAAUCAAGAACGAAAGUUAGGGGAUCGAAGACGAUCAGAUACCGUCGUAGUCUUAACCAUAAACUAUGCCGACUAGGAAUCAGACGAUGUUAAUUUUUUAAUGACUCGUUUGGCACCUUAC